rnacentral:lncRNA from 1 species
AUGGGGAGGGGGUGGCAUGAGAGGGAGAAGAAGGGGUCUUGUCCCCGCAGGCUCUUGUGUGCAGCGUGGCGCCUAUUUGAGAGUGACAUGUGUGCGACGGUGCACGCGCGCGCCUGCUACCGCAACACCCACAGUGGCCCCCCGCCCCGACCCCCCCAUACCCCAGCCGCCCCCAGCAGAGGAGGGAGAUCUUUAUCUGGCCCCUGGUGCUGCAGGAGUUUCAGGCUUUCUAACCAGUCAGAUCUCCCCCGCCUUCCCACCCCCAGGCCUUACCCCCUCCAUCCUCUGCACAGGAAGUGGGCUGGCCCUGGGGUUUUAGUCUCUGCCUGCUUGCGCCGUCAGCCGUCUACUACCUGGGCCGAGGGAGCUGGAGCCCGGCCCUGGGGAGAUGGCUGCGGUCCCAGCAGCGGAGAGAAGCAGAUACAGCGCAUCGCAGCUCCAUGUCCCAGCCAGGGCUCCCUUCCCCAGCCCCCGCCCGUGGAUGUGAUGGCGGCUCCGGCUCUGUCCUGCUGUCUGUCCCUCCUUGUCCUCCUCUUGUCCCUGGCCAUCCCUCAGGCAUCUACAGCAGAGAACGGACUGAGCAUCUCCUCACCUGGUAGGGACAGGCAUGGCAGGAGAACCUUUGUACGCCGUGUGUGGCCUACACCCAGCCCCACACGAAGCAUCUUCAAGGCAAAUGCUUCCAACAUCACAUGCUUCUAUAACUCGAGAGCCAACGUCUCCUGCACCUGGAACCAUGAUGAGGGCCUGCGGGCCACCGCCUGCUACUUGCACAGCCGUCAGCCUCCAAGAGAGCUGGUUUUUCCUGAAAAAAAUUGGAACCACACCUGUGAGCUGCAACGAGUGAAGCCGGGAUCCUGGGCAUGCAACCUGGUCCUGGGACCUUCUCCAGAAUCUCAGAAACUGACCGUAGUGGACUUCAUGAAAUUGACGGUGAUGUGCUCUGAAGGCGGGAAGUGGACGAGGAUAAUUACCCAGGAUAUCACGCCCUUUGAUUACAUUCGUCUGGUUCCACCCCACUCACUCCAAGUCGCCCACAUAGAGACCCGUAGGUGCAACAUAACCUGGACCAUCUCCCAGGUAUCCCACUACAUCCAAGACGUCAUGGAAUUUGAGGUCCGGACUAGGUCUGCAGGCCGCAGCUGGGAGGACGUCCCGCUACUGAUCCUCAAGCAGAACCAGCGAUGGAUCUUCCUGGAGAAUCUCACUCCAGGCACGGAAUAUGAGCUUCAGGUGCGGGCCAAGCCCCACCUAGGCAGCCAUGAGGUUUGGAGCCACUGGAGCCAGCCCCUGGCCUUCAGGACAGUCCCUGCAGGUACUGAUGGGAAGCUGAGAUGGGGAUGCAGCCUGGAAAGGAGAAAGAGACUGGCGGGGCAGUCUUGGGAAACCGAGAAGAAGAUCCCACCUCUCCCUUGGUUGGUCCCCAUCUUCUUGGGCGUUGGCAGUUUCUUUGGUCUUGUCCUCUUGGUUUACUUUCUGGGCAGCUUCCAGUGCAUCAGGCUACGGCUGAAGAACAUUCUCAAGUGUCACAUCCCAGACCCCUCGGAGUUUUUUCCCCAGCUGAGCUCUGAGCAUGGAGGAGAUUUCCAGAAGUGGCUCUCUUCACCUUUCCCCUCGUCCUCCUUCAGCCGCAGUGGCCCAGACCCCGAGAUCUCCCCACUGGAGGUGUUGGACAGGGACGCCAAGGCCACACAGCUGUUCCUGCUGCAGCAGGACAAGGGCUCAUUGUCCUUAGCUGAGACCAGCGGCCACUCGGUGACCAGCUGCUUCACCAACCAAGGCUACUUCUUCUUCCACCUCCCAGAUGCCCUAGAGAUUGAGGCCUGCCAGGUGUACUUCGUUUACGACCCAUGCACAGAGGAGCUUAAUGAGGGUGGGCCCAGGGCCCCUGAAGGAGCUCUCCUUCCACCCCUGCCGACUCCACCAGGGGAUGACGAUGCCUACUGCACCUUCCCCCCCGGAGAAGACCUGCUGCUCUUCUCUCCGAGUCUCCUCAGUGGCCCAGGCCCCCUGAACACUUCCCAGCAGGGCACUGGGGCUGGUGAAGAGAGGCUGGCCUCCAGCCCACAGGAGGGAAUCCCUGGAGAUUCGAUCCCCCAGCCACUGGGGCCUCCUGUUCUGGAAGCCCCUGACCUGGUGGAUAUUCAGUCACCCCCAGAGCAUGAGCUGGGAGAAGCAAGAGAGAAGGUACCUGGCCCCAGUCCAAGGGAGGGGACCAGCUUCCCCUGGGCCAGCCCUCCCGGGCAAAGCCAAGUCAGGGCCCCCACUGCCUGCCUGACCCUGAACACUGAUGCCUACCUAUCCCUCCAAGAGCUCCAGGAUCGGGACCCAACUUACUUGGUGUAGACAGACAGCCAGAGCUGGGAGGCAGGUGGCCGUCCACUGCUGCGCCAGGCCUGCUUGAGGACUCCCUGUCCAUGAGGCUUUUCCCCUGCUGAGACACGGUGUCCAGCAACCCCUGGACAUCUCUGCCCAGAGGGCCUCACCCAGUCCUGCACACUCAGCUGUUGAUUUCCAAACCUCAGUUGCUGCUCCCUGGUCCUAUUGCCCAAGCCAAGAACUUUGGGGGUGGGGUCCUUUGAUUCCCCCAUUCCCUCAUUCGUCGUGGACUCCUGUGGUUUUACCUCUGAAGCAUUUCUCCUCUCCAGCCCUAUAGCUACUUUUCAGGGAGAGUUUGUGGUUCUCCAGUGGUCUUCACCCUGGCUUACUCACUGGGCUUCCUGCCUGGAUCACACCCCUCCCACCCACCCCCCAGCACAGGACAAUCAGCGGAAUCUUUCCAAAACAUAAAUGGAGCUAUGCUGCUCCUCCUGGAGAAGGAAAUGGCAACCCACUCCAGUAUUCUUGCCUGGAAAAUCCCAUGGACAGAGGAGCCUGGCAGGCUACAGUCCAUGGGAUUGCAAAGAGUUAGACACGACAGAGCGAAUGGGCAUACAUGUGCUGCUCCUGAUUUAAAAUCCUGCCAUGGCUCACCACUGCCCUCAGUACAACUUCUUGACCUGUUGGUCCUCCAGCAUCAUGUUGGGACAUUCCCAUCUAGAAUCCUCCCAACAGUCCUACUCAGAGACCCUGAUGCUGGGAAAGAUUGAAGGCAGGAGGAGAAGGGGGCGACAGAGGAUGAGAUGGUGGGAUGGCAUCGCUGACUCAACGGACAUGAGUUUGAGCAAACUCCUGGAGACAGUGAAGGACAGAAGAGCCUGGCAUGCUGCAGUGCAUGGGGUCUCAAGGAGUCGGACAUGACUGAGCGACUGAACAACACAGUCCUACAGAGCCACUCGGAACUCCCUCACUUCCCCACUCCUUU